rnacentral:rRNA from 1 species
AAUAGAUUACCCUGGUAGUCCACGCCGUAAACGUUGGAUACUAGGUGUGGCGUCCCGAUCAACGGAUGCCGUGCCGAAGCUAACGCAUUAAGUAUCCCGCCUGGGGAGUACGGCCGCAAGGCUAAAACUCAAAGGAAUUGACGGGGUCCCCGCACAAGCGGCGGAGCAUGCGGCUUAAUUCGAUGCAACCCGAAGAACCUUACCUGGGUUUGAAAUCAUGGGAAAAGCUGUAGAAAUACAGUGUCCGUAAGGGCCCAUGACAGGUGGUGCAUGGCUGUCGUCAGCUCGUGUCGUGAGAUGUUGGGUUAAGUCCCGCAACGAGCGCAACCCUUGUCCUAUGUUGCCAGCGGUUCGGCCGGGGACUCAUAGGAGACUGCCGGGGAUAACUCGGAGGAAGGUGAGGACGACGUCAAGUCAUCAUGCCCCUUAUAUCCAGGGCUGCACGCAUGCUACAAUGGUCGGUACAACGGGCAGCGACCCCGCGAGGGUGAGCGAAUCCCACAAAGCCGGCCUCAGUUCGGAUUGGAGUCUGC